rnacentral:ncRNA from 1 species
UAAAAAUUAGCGCCGGGUCUGCCUGCACCUUUUCGGCAGAUGACGAGGAAGAGGUUAUCGAAAUAUUCGGCGGAUGCCUCUUGCCCCAUAAGUGCGGGGGUACAGGCGCUUGCUUAAAAACUGUCGGCGACGGCAGAACAGAGGCAGGCG